GAACAUGAGGACAAUAUCGCUGUGACACCUGUCACCACACUGACUGCCAGGGCUGAUUGGCUGAUCUGGCUGGCUAGGUGAGCGGCCCCCUCCUCCCUCAAUGCCCCACGAGUAUCCCAAAGUUGUGCGCUCCAUUGAAGAAGAUGACCACUCUCAACAGAGGAGGAUCUUUUAUUUUACCAAAAGUAUAUGAGUUCUGCUCCCCUUCUCGAACCUCUAAACAAGCUCUCAAAAAGAAUGCAAUUAUAAAUGUGAUUGCAUUGAAAUUUUAAAACUUUUGUGGUCCAAAAAUAACAUUA
rnacentral:snRNA from 1 species